rnacentral:rRNA from 1 species
UACAGAGGUCCCGAGCGUUGUUCGGAUUCAUUGGGCGUAAAGGGUGCGUAGGCGGCUGGGUAAGUUUGAUGUGAAAUCCUGGGGCUCAACCCUGGAACUGCAUUGAAUACUGCUCGGCUAGAGUACUGGAGAGGAAACUGGAAUUCACGGUGUAGCAGUGAAAUGCGUAGAUAUCGUGAGGAAGACCAGUGGCGAAGGCGAGUUUCUGGACAGUUACUGACGCUGAGGCACGAAAGCCAGGGGAGCAAACGGG